rnacentral:rRNA from 1 species
UUAUCCGGAAUUAUUGGGCGUAAAGGGCUCGUAGGCGGUUCGUCGCGUCCGGUGUGAAAGUCCAUCGCUUAACGGUGGAUCCGCGCCGGGUACGGGCGGGCUUGAGUGCGGUAGGGGAGACUGGAAUUCCCGGUGUAACGGUGGAAUGUGUAGAUAUCGGGAAGAACACCAAUGGCGAAGGCAGGUCUCUGGGCCGUCACUGACGCUGAGGAGCGAAAGCGUGGGGAGCGAACAGGAUUAGAUACCCUGGUAGUCCACGCCGUAAACGGUGGAUGCUGGAUGUGGGGACCAUUCCACGGUCUCCGUGUCGGAGCCAACGCGUUAAGCAUCCCGCCUGGGGAGUACGGCCGC